rnacentral:lncRNA from 1 species
AUAAGGAAGAUAAAAAAUAUGCUUCUCUUUCUCCACUGUUUUCAUCUAUCUUCAGCAAUAGUUUUUACUCGAGUUCUUUUACCUUUGGCAUUCGACUCAGGUGCUUUCCCAAAAUUGGCAUUGAUUCCUUCCAUUUGUUUCAAGAUGUCUGACCCUGAUAAUGCUAUUGGUGGCUCCCGUUGCUCGAUUUUCCAAUUAAAACGUACACGCUGCAAUCUAAACUGAUGUCCGCUUUCAAGAAAACGGCGAUGACCCAUGAAAAACCAUUUUAUUCUAUACUUUAACCUGCAA